rnacentral:rRNA from 1 species
GAGGAGCCCAGAGCCUGAAUCAGUGUGUGUGUUAGUGGAAGCGUCUGGAAAGGCGUGCGAUACAGGGUGACAGCCCCGUACACAAAAAUGCACAUAUUGUGAGCUCGAUGAGUAGGGCGGGACACGUGGUAUCCUGUCUGAAUAUGGGGGGACCAUCCUCCAAGGCUAAAUACUCCUGACUGACCGAUAGUGAACCAGUACCGUGAGGGAAAGGCGAAAAGAACCCCGGCGAGGGGAGUGAAAAAGAACCUGAAACCGUGUACGUACAAGCAGUGGGAGCCUCUUAAUGGGGUGACUGCGUACCUUUUGUAUAAUGGGUCAGCGACUUAUAUUCUGUAGCAAGGUUAACCGAAUAGGGGAGCCGAAGGGAAACCGAGUCUUAACUGGGCGUUAAGUUGCAGGGUAUAGACCCGAAACCCGGUGAUCUAGCCAUGGGCAGGUUGAAGGUUGGGUAACACUAACUGGAGGACCGAACCGACUAAUGUUGAAAAAUUAGCGGAUGACUUGUGGCUGGGGGUGAAAGGCCAAUCAAACCGGGAGAUAGCUGGUUCUCCCCGAAAGCUAUUUAGGUAGCGCCUCGUGAAUUCAUCUCCGGGGGUAGAGCACUGUUUCGGCAAGGGGGUCAUCCCGACUUACCAACCCGAUGCAAACUGCGAAUACCGGAGAAUGUUAUCACGGGAGACACACGGCGGGUGCUAACGUCCGUCGUGAAGAGGGAAACAACCCAGACCGCCAGCUAAGGUCCCAAAGUCAUGGUUAAGUGGGAAACGAUGUGGGAAGGCCCAGACAGCCAGGAUGUUGGCUUAGAAGCAGCCAUCAUUUAAAGAAAGCGUAAUAGCUCACUGGUCGAGUCGGCCUGCGCGGAAGAUGUAACGGGGCUAAACCAUGCACCGAAGCUGCGGCAGCGACACUAUGUGUUGUUGGGUAGGGGAGCGUUCUGUAAGCCUGUGAAGGUGGCCUGUGAGGGUUGCUGGAGGUAUCAGAAGUGCGAAUGCUGACAUAAGUAACGAUAAAGCGGGUGAAAAGCCCGCUCGCCGGAAGACCAAGGGUUCCUGUCCAACGUUAAUCGGGGCAGGGUGAGUCGACCCCUAAGGCGAGGCCGAAAGGCGUAGUCGAUGGGAAACAGGUUAAUAUUCCUGUACUUGGUGUUACUGCGAAGGGGGGACGGAGAAGGCUAUGUUGGCCGGGCGACGGUUGUCCCGGUUUAAGCGUGUAGGCUGGUUUUCCAGGCAAAUCCGGAAAACCAAGGCUGAGGCGUGAUGACGAGGCACUACGGUGCUGAAGCGACAAAUGCCCUGCUUCCAGGAAAAGCCUCUAAGCAUCAGGUAACAUCAAAUCGUACCCCAAACCGACACAGGUGGUCAGGUAGAGAAUACCAAGGCGCUUGAGAGAACUCGGGUGAAGGAACUAGGCAAAAUGGUGCCGUAACUUCGGGAGAAGGCACGCUGAUAUGUAGGUGAAGCGACUUGCUCGUGGAGCUGAAAUCAGUCGAAGAUACCAGCUGGCUGCAACUGUUUAUUAAAAACACAGCACUGUGCAAACACGAAAGUGGACGUAUACGGUGUGACGCCUGCCCGGUGCCGGAAGGUUAAUUGAUGGGGUUAGCGGUAACGCGAAGCUCUUGAUCGAAGCCCCGGUAAACGGCGGCCGUAACUAUAACGGUCCUAAGGUAGCGAAAUUCCUUGUCGGGUAAGUUCCGACCUGCACGAAUGGCGUAAUGAUGGCCAGGCUGUCUCCACCCGAGACUCAGUGAAAUUGAACUCGCUGUGAAGAUGCAGUGUACCCGCGGCAAGACGGAAAGACCCCGUGAACCUUUACUAUAGCUUGACACUGAACAUUGAGCCUUGAUGUGUAGGAUAGGUGGGAGGCUUUGAAGUGUGGACGCCAGUCUGCAUGGAGCCGACCUUGAAAUACCACCCUUUAAUGUUUGAUGUUCUAACGUUGGCCCGUAAUCCGGGUUGCGGACAGUGUCUGGUGGGUAGUUUGACUGGGGCGGUCUCCUCCUAAAGAGUAACGGAGGAGCACGAAGGUUGGCUAAUCCUGGUCGGACAUCAGGAGGUUAGUGCAAUGGCAUAAGCCAGCUUGACUGCGAGCGUGACGGCGCGAGCAGGUGCGAAAGCAGGUCAUAGUGAUCCGGUGGUUCUGAAUGGAAGGGCCAUCGCUCAACGGAUAAAAGGUACUCCGGGGAUAACAGGCUGAUACCGCCCAAGAGUUCAUAUCGACGGCGGUGUUUGGCACCUCGAUGUCGGCUCAUCACAUCCUGGGGCUGAAGUAGGUCCCAAGGGUAUGGCUGUUCGCCAUUUAAAGUGGUACGCGAGCUGGGUUUAGAACGUCGUGAGACAGUUCGGUCCCUAUCUGCCGUGGGCGCUGGAGAACUGAGGGGGGCUGCUCCUAGUACGAGAGGACCGGAGUGGACGCAUCACUGGUGUUCGGGUUGUCAUGCCAAUGGCACUGCCCGGUAGCUAAAUGCGGAAGAGAUAAGUGCUGAAAGCAUCUAAGCACGAAACUUGCCCCGAGAUGAGUUCUCCCUGACUCCUUGAGAGUCCUGAAGGAACGUUGAAGACGACGACGUUGAUAGGCCGGGUGUG